UGGUGAACCAGCGGAGGGAUCAUUACCGAGUACUAUAACUCAUAACCCUUUGUGAACCUUUAUACCUGUUGCUUCGGCGGCGCGCCCCCCGGGGCGUGCCCGCCGGUAUCAUCAGAAUCUCUGUUUGAACCCGACGAUACAUCUGAGUGUUCUAAGCGAACUGUUAAAACUUUCAACAACGGAUCUCUUGGCUCCAG
rnacentral:misc_RNA from 1 species